UCUAACCCCAUGUCCUGCUUGUGAAGUGA
rnacentral:piRNA from 1 species